GGUAUUUUCCUAUAAUCCCAAGGUUCAAACGAAUGUUUAGAUAAAAAACAAUGGCUAAGAAUUUAAGGUGGCAUCACAAUAAUAAGAGUAAUGAUGGGAAAAUGCGUCACCCUGUAGAUUCUAUUGCUUGGGAGUUAGUGCAUGAGAAAUGGCCUUCUUUUUCAAAAGAAGAACGAAAUCUUAGACUUGGACUUUCUACAGAUGGAUUCAAUCCUUUUAGUAAUUUGAGUAGUAAAUAUAGUGUUUGGCCUGUGAUGAUGGUUAUGUAUAACUUGCCCCCAUGGUUAUGCAUGAAACAAGAAAAUGUUUUAUUGUCAUUGUUAAUUCCAGGACCGAAGCAACCUGGAAAUGACAUUGAUGUAUAUUUAGAACCACUCAUAGAGGACUUGAAUGUAUUAUGGAAUGAGGGAGUUGAAGUUCAUGAUGCUUUUGAUAACACAACUUUCAUGUUGAGAGCAAUUUUGAUGUGGACCAUCCAAGAUUUUCCAGCUUAUGGGAAUCUUGCUGGAUGUAAAACUAAGGGGUAUUGUAGUUGUCCUUUAUGUGGUCAAGAUACACAUUCAGAGUGGUUAAAACAUAGCUCAAAGUUUUCAUUUCGAGGCCAUCGGAAAUUUCUUCAAACAAACCAUCAAUUUCGAACUAAAAAAAGUUGGUUUGAUGGAAAAGAAGAGCUUGGAAGUGCACCAAGGAUAAUGAAUGGGAGUAAAAUUUUUGAGCAUCUAAAAGAUUUUGUGAAUGUAUGGGGUAAAUCUAAGUUAAAGAAAAGAAAGAGAGGUUGUGAUGAUAAAAAAGAGAUGUGGAAAAAACGAUCAAUCUUUUUUGAGUUACCUUAUUGGAAGGUUAGUAUGUAUAAAGUUAUUUAUCUAGAUAAAAUAACAUUGUAUUUAGAAGAAUUUUUAAUUAUUUAUCUUUUCAAUAUUUACUUCAGGAGUUAUAUGUUCGUCACAAUUUGGAUGUGAUGCAUAUAGAGAAGAAUGUGUGCGAAAGCAUUAUUAAUACACUGUUAAAUGUUGCUGGGAAGACGAAAGAUGGAAUUAAAGCUCGUUUGGAUUUACAAGAUAUGGGUAUUAGGAGUGGAUUACACCCACAAGAGCAAGGGACUAGAAACUACCUUCCACCAGCUAUACAUACACUUUCAAAGGACGAGAAACACUUAUUUUGUGAACGUUUGUUCUUGUUGAAGGUACCAGAUGGGUAUAGUUCAAAUAUUCGAAAUUGUGUUUCAAUGGAACAAUGCAAGCUUGUGGGUCUUAAGUCACACGAUUGUCACAUUUUGAUGCAACAAUUACUACCAGUUGCAAUAAGAGGAUUGAUGCCUAAGGGUCCAAGGGAUGCUAUAAUAAGAUUAUGUGCAUUCUUCAAUCGAAUAUGUCAACGAGUUAUUGACAGGGAGAGCUUGAUGAAAUUUGAAAAUGAAGUUGCUGAAACGUUAUGCUUGUUUGAGAGAUUCUUUCCACCAUCAUUUUUUGAUGUCAUGAUUCACUUGGUGAUUCAUAUUGGACGAGAAGCACGAUUAUGUGGACCGGUUCAAUUUCGAUGGAUGUAUCCCUUUGAGAGACGUAUGAAAACACUCAAAGAAUAUGUCAGAAAUCAAGCAAGGCCUGAAGGUUGUAUUGCAGAGUCUUAUCUUGCAGAUGAGUGUGUGAUUUUUUGUAAUGAAUUCAUUAACAGAACAGGUGAAUUGAACACAAAAAAAGGUCGUAAUGAAGAGUGGGCCAAUGAUGUGUUACUUGAAGGUCGUCCAAUUUCUGGGAAAAAAGAAAUUACGAUAACAGAUGAGUGGAUAGAAAUUGCACACCGAUAUGUUCUGCUGAACACAUCUAUUGUAGAGCCUUUUAUAGAGUAAGUCCAUGAUGGGUCCUAAUUGUUAGUUUUUAUGUUCAAAAGUAAGUGAUUUUAGCCAUUUUAUUUGAAUAAAUUAGGAUGCAUAUGGAGGAGUUAAGGAAAACAAACAAAAUUUAUGAGAGAAAUAGUGGCUUACUUUGGAAAAGACAUGUAGAGACAUUUCCAAAAUGGCUGAAGGAAAAGGUAAACUAGUUCAUUCUGAACUGAUUUAGCUUAGUGUGUUAAGUUGAGGGAUAUGACUAAUUGAAAACUAUAU